rnacentral:rRNA from 1 species
AUAAUUGAAUUUGGCUUAUUGCACCACAUGUGUUUUUCUUUGAAACAAACUUGCUUUGGCGGUGGGCCCAGCCUGCCGCCAGAGGUCUAAACUUACAACCAAUUUUUUAUCAACUUGUCACACCAGAUUAUUACUUAAUAGUCAAAACUUUCAACAACGGAUCUCUUGGUUCUCGCAUCGAUGAAGAACGCAGCGAAAUGCGAUACGUAAUAUGAAUUGCAGAUAUUCGUGAAUCAUCGAAUCUUUGAACGCACAUUGCGCCCUCUGGUAUUCCGGAGGGCAUGCCUGUUUGAGCGUCGUUUCUCCCUCAAACCGCUGGGUUUGGUGUUGAGCAAUACGACUUGGGUUUGCUUGAAAGACGGUAGUGGUAAGGCGGGAUCGCUUUGACAAUGGCUUAGGUCUAACCAAAAACAUUGCUUGCGGCGGUAACGUCCACCACGUAUAUCUUCAAACUUUGACCUCAAAUCAGGUAGGACUACCCGCUGAACUUAAGCAUAUCAAUAAGCGGAGGAA